rnacentral:rRNA from 1 species
UACGGAGGGAGCUAGCGUUGUUCGGAAUUACUGGGCGUAAAGCGCACGUAGGCGGCUUUGUAAGUUAGAGGUGAAAGCCCGGGGCUCAACUCCGGAACUGCCUUUAAGACUGCAUCGCUUGAAUCCGGGAGAGGUGAGUGGAAUUCCGAGUGUAGAGGUGAAAUUCGUAGAUAUUCGGAAGAACACCAGUGGCGAAGGCGGCUCACUGGACUGGUAUUGACGCUGAGGCGCGAAAGCCAGGGGAGCGAACGGG